rnacentral:rRNA from 1 species
AUUGAACGCUGGCGGCAGGCCUAACACAUGCAAGUCGAGCGAGCGACGGACGGGUGAGUAAUGUCUGGGAAACUGCCUGAUAGAGGGGGAUAAGUACUGGAAACGGUAGGUAAUAACGCAUCCCAUGCGAUGUGCGCAGAUGGGGUUAGCUAGUCGGUGGGGUAACGGCUCACCUGGGCGACGAUCCCUAGCUGGUCUGAGAGGAUGACCGGCCACACUGGAACUGAGACACGGUCCAGACUCCUACGGGAGGCAGCAGUGGGGAAUAUUGCGCAAUGGGCGAAAGCCUGAUGCAGCCAUGCCGCGUGUAUGAAGAAGGCCUUCGGGUUGUAAAGUACUUUCAGCGGGGAGGCGUUACCCGCAGAAGAAGCACCGGCUAACUCCGUGCCAGCAGCCGCGGUAAUUC